UCUCCUGGGAGCACCUGCCAAGCACUGCCUCUCAUUUCAAGCCUGACUGUUCCUGCUGAGAAAGUGUGAUGAAGCUCCGAGUCUGGGUCAAGGUUAAACACCCUAUGGAAGAGUGCUCAUGUGCCUGGCGCUUUCUCUGUGACUCCUCUAUAAAGGUGAGGGGAAGACGGGUGGGAAGAAACGUGAUCUGCCCAGAGAGUUCAGUGCUGCGAACUGAUGGAGCGACCUCAGAGAGGUGGCAGAAAAAGACAGCGCUCGCUAUCGCUGCUCUGGGAGAGAGUGGGGGACCCCAAAACACCACCCACUUGCAGAACGACACCAUCCUAGAUUCACACCAUUUACCUAGGGUCACUUUAGCCGUGAUAUUACGUUUCUGCUCUACGUGGGAGGAAGGGCGUAAUGAAGAGGGAGCCUCCUAUGACGGAGAACAGCUCAGUCAUGAGAAAGCUGGGUUGGCAGAGAUUAAUGGGGAAGCAUCCUGUCUGCGAUAUCACCAUCUGAGCAAGCCUUUCCCGGGAAACUGGUCGAAAUGUAUCUUGCCAAAAUACCACUUAAGUGACACCUGGAGGUUAGUUGGAACAGCGUACAGUUAUGUCAGAAAUGCCCUCCCUUCCUCCUGGCUUUCUCUGCAUGUACAGAGCUUAGCAUGUUUCAGUUCCCCACAGAUUCAAGUGAAGUUUAAAUCAACAUUGAUUCAAGGGAAUCAGUGCGAGGAGAUCCCAGAUCUGGAGUGGACGUUCUCCAACAGCAGCAGAGUGUCGGUGCCAGCACAGGAGUAUGCGCACAAGGAGCUCUCAGCCAGAGCAGGCCCAGAAUCUGUUUUGCUUUCUCACACUUGGAGCUGGUAUAUUUUAAAGGAUAUCAAGCGGCAAAUGUGGCAAAGGGGAAAAAUUGCUACAGACUGUAUCUGGCAGAAAACCAGCAAAGAUAAAAUACCAUACGUUCUGUGCAAUGAGCUCCUACAUAAAUGAUUCAUUCACUGGAAUACAGCUGGGGUCAAACACCUUCUAUUUGAAUAGCCAAAAGUUAUGCAAAUAUUUUAUGUGGAUUUUUCUCAAGAAAAGAAAGAGGGGGAAAAAAAGGACAAUAUAUCCUAUUCCCAUUUAAAAAUAAAAUAAAAGCUGUUUAUCUAUGUAACUUUUAA
rnacentral:lncRNA from 1 species